UACGUAGGGGGCAAGCGUUGUCCGGAUUUAUUGGGCGUAAAGAGCGUGUAGGCGGCCAUACAGGUCAGCUGUGAAAACUCGAGGCUCAACCUCGAGACGUCGGUUGAAACCGUAUGGCUAGAGUCCGGAAGAGGAGAGUGGAAUUCCCGGUGUAGCGGUGAAAUGCGCAGAUAUCGGGAAGAACACCUGUGGCGAAGGCGGCUCUCUGGGACGGUACUGACGCUGAGACGCGAAAGCGUGGGGAGCGAACAGG
rnacentral:rRNA from 1 species